rnacentral:lncRNA from 1 species
AGUCUUCCACUAGCAGCCUUUGGAUGAAGAUGUAGAACUCUCAGCUCCUCCUGCACCAUGACAGCCUGGAUGCUGCCAUGCUCCCACCUUGAUGGACUGGUUGUUCUAUUUCUGAGAUCUCUGAGACCCAGCCCACCAGGAACACACAAAUGUGGAACCGAGAUAGGCUGAGGACUUAUUAAACAGAAUUCUGCUGUUCCUAUCCCAGGGUUGGACCAAUGUGUAGAAAAUUGCUUAUGGGAUUCUUUGAAUGACUUUUUCAUUGCGGGAAAUAUUAAAAAUGAACCUGCCAACCUU